UGAGAAAGAGAAGAACCUGGAGAGAAGAGCUAUAACGCGGGAAGAGGGGUUACAUCGCCGGCCAAGGGGACUGGACUGCGGACAAGGGCAGUGGCUGGUGUCCUCUAGACUCUAAGAUCACUACAGUAGCGCCAAGAAGUGGAUGUCCCCCAAGCCAAGCAUCAGCACCCUUAGACAGACUGAUACAUGGAAUCUCCAAGACCUGACUCGUCACGUCACUCUCUCUAAUUAAGCACCCAUGUGAUCAGCCUCAGAACUCUGGAUAACCCACUCCAAACGCCACCUCCAUUAAACGGAUACCAGGAGCCACAGAA
ensembl:lincRNA Gm44970 predicted gene 44970